rnacentral:rRNA from 1 species
AGAGUUUGAUCAUGGCUCAGGAUGAACGCUGGCGGCGUGCCUAACACAUGCAAGUCGAACGGAGUUAUUCGAGGAAAUUUUCGGAUGGAAUCAAAUGACUUAGUGGCGGACGGGUGAGUAACGCGUGGGAAACCUGCCCUGUACCGGGGGAUAACACUUAGAAAUAGGUGCUAAUACCGCAUAAGCGCACGGGACCGCAUGGUCCAGUGUGAAAAACUCCGGUGGUACAGGAUGGUCCCGCGUCUGAUUAGCCAGUUGGCGGGGUAACGGCCCACCAAGGCGACGAUCAGUAGCCGGCCUGAGAGGGUGGACGGCCACAUUGGGACUGAGACACGGCCCAGACUCCUACGGGAGGCAGCAGUGGGGAAUAUUGCACAAUGGGGGAAACCCUGAUGCAGCGACGCCGCGUGAGCGAAGAAGUAUUUCGGUAUGUAAAGCUCUAUCAGCAGGGAAGAAGAUGACGGUACCUGAGUAAGAAGCCCCGG